CGCUAGCGGCGAGCUUAACACAUGCAAGUCGAGCGGAGGGUUUCGGCCCUCAGCGGCGGACGGGUGAGUAACACGUAGGUUACGUGCCCUUUGGUGGGGAAUAACUUAGGGAAACCUGAGCUAAUACCGCAUGUGCCCUUCGGGGUGAAAGUCUUCGGACGCCAGAGGAUCGGCCUGCGGCCCAUUAUUUAAUCCUUGUUGGUGGGGUAACGGCCUACCAAGGGUACGAUGGGUAGCUGGUCUGAGAGGAUGAUCAGCCACACUGGGACUGAGACACGGCCCAGACUCCUACGGGAGGCAGCAGUGGGGAAUAUUGGACAAUGGGGGAAACCCUGAUCCAGCUACGCCGCGUGGGUGAUGAAGGCCUUCGGGUUGUAAAGCCCUGUCGAGGGGGACGAAGUUCUGACGGUACCCCUCAAGAAAGCACCGGCUAACUCCGUG
rnacentral:rRNA from 1 species